UCCAUGUUUUAAACUUUUUGAGCAGGCAAUGUGUUGAAAUACAUUAUCGGGCUGGUGUUUGUCAGUUGUUCACCUGAUUAAGCUAUAAAUGUAACGAAUCAGGCACGUGCUCACAUGGACAUCAAAGUGCCCUUUUUUCUGGGGAGUGUUGUUGUUUUUUUGGUUUGUUUUAAAUAAAUGAAUACAUCUAUAUAUGUGCGCGUGUGUGUCACAGCUUUCCCUGUCAAACAAAUAAAACAUCUGAAUAUCAGCUGGGGUCGGGAAUGUUGAGGCUUUCUCCCUCCGUGUCUCGCGCUGCUCAGCAGUAGCAGCACUGAUCGGCGCAUGCGCAGCACAGAAGUGAAGCCCUCCUCUCUUCCCAGCUGUGGAGGAGCCGGACUGUGAAUCUCUGAGAGGAAGAGGAGGAGGAGGAGGAGGAGGAGGAGAGCGUCGAUGACAUCAACGAGCGCAAGAGUCUCCGGAGGCUUCUGGAAAUGGAGGAUUCUGCCUGAUCACGGAACAUGAUGCUCGAGUCUCCCGAACGACUUCAGCCGCAGCUUCGCGCAGGAAUACUGGCUCAGACCGCUGAGGAUUAUGAAAACCAGGACAUGAAGCUCAAACACAUCUAGAAAAAAAGAGAAACGAGUGCGUGUGUCU
rnacentral:lncRNA from 1 species